rnacentral:snRNA from 1 species
GUGCUCGUCUGUCAGCACGUGUACUAAAGCCUGAAUGACGCGGAGAAGAUUAGCAAGGCCCCAAGCAAGGAUGACAUGUGUUUCACAUGUUUUU